UAGACAGGGGGAGUAACUAUUGGAAACGAUAGCUAAGACCGCAUAGGUACGGACACUGCAUGGUGACCGUAUUAAAAGUGCCUCAAAGCACUGGUAGAGGAUGGACUUAUGGCGCAUUAGCUGGUUGGCGGGGUAACGGCCCACCAAGGCGACGAUGCGUAGCCGACCUGAGAGGGUGACCGGCCACACUGGGACUGAGACACGGCCCAAACUCCUACGGAGGCAGCAUG
rnacentral:rRNA from 1 species